GCCAGGUGCAGUGGCUCAUGCCUGUAAUCCCAGCACUUUGGGAGGCUGAGGUGGGUGGAUCACCUGAGGUGGGAGUUCGAGACCAGCCUGACCAACAUGGAGAAAUCCCAUCUCUACUAAAAAUANNNNNNNNNNUAUUUUUAGUAGAGAUGGGAUUUCUCCAUGUUGGUCAGGCUGGUCUCGAACUCCCACCUCAGGUGAUCCACCCACCUCAG
rfam:Chlorocebus sabaeus isolate 1994-021 chromosome 24, whole genome shotgun sequence.